AUCCAGCUGACGAGUCUGAAACAGGGCGAAACGCGCGUCAAACUGGAU
rnacentral:hammerhead_ribozyme from 1 species